GCGGGCGCGGCGUGGAGGCAGGAAGUGCGGGCGGACCUCUCGCGCUAUAACAUUAGGACAAUGUUAAGGCCAAAAUCAUGAACAAUUUAAGUCCCAAAAGCCAUAAAAAAACAAACAAACAAACAAAC
rnacentral:lncRNA from 1 species